AUUGAACGCUGGCGGAAUGCUUUACACAUGCAAGUCGAACGGCAGCACGGGGGCAACCCUGGUGGCGAGUGGCGAACGGGUGAGUAAUACAUCGGAACGUGCCCGGUCGUGGGGGAUAACGUAGCGAAAGUUACGCUAAUACCGCAUACGAUCUGAGGAUGAAAGCGGGGGACCUUCGGGCCUCGCGCGAUCGGAGCGGCCGAUGUCAGAUUAGGUAGUUGGUGGGGUAAAGGCCUACCAAGCCGACGAUCCGUAGCUGGUCUGAGAGGACGACCAGCCACACUGGGACUGAGACACGGCCCAGACUCCUACGGGAGGCAGCAGUGGGGAAUUUUGGACAAUGGGCGCAAGCCUGAUCCAGCCAUUCCGCGUGCAGGACGAAGGCCUUCGGGUUGUAAACUGCUUUUGUAUGGAACGAAAAGGCUCUGGCUAAUACCUGGGGCUCAUGACGGUACCGUAAGAAUAAGCACCGGCUAACUACGUG
rnacentral:rRNA from 1 species